GUAGUCUGCAACCCGACUACAUGAAGCUGGAAUCGCUAGUAAUCGCGAAUCAGAAUGUCGCGGUGAAUACGUUCCCGGGUCUUGUACACACCGCCCGUCACACCAUGGGAGUCGGAAAUGCCCGAAGUCAGUGACCCAACCGUAAGGAGGGAGCUGCCGAAGGUGGAGCCGGUAACUGGGGUGAAGUCGUAACAAGGUAAC
rnacentral:rRNA from 1 species